rnacentral:rRNA from 1 species
AUUGAACGCUGGCGGCAUGCCUUACACAUGCAAGUCGAACGGUAACAGGUCUUCGGAUGCUGACGAGUGGCGAACGGGUGAGUAAUACAUCGGAACGUGCCCGAUCGUGGGGGAUAACGAGGCGAAAGCUUUGCUAAUACCGCAUACGAUCUACGGAUGAAAGCGGGGGAUCUUCGGACCUCGCGCGGACGGAGCGGCCGAUGGCAGAUUAGGUAGUUGGUGGGAUAAAAGCUUACCAAGCCGACGAUCUGUAGCUGGUCUGAGAGGAUGAUCAGCCACACUGGGACUGAGACACGGCCCAGACUCCUACGGGAGGCAGCAGUGGGGAAUUUUGGACAACGGGCGAAAGCCUGAUCCAGCCAUGCCGCGUGCAGGAUGAAGGCCUUUGGGUUGUAAACUGCUUUUGUACGGAACGAAAAGCCUCUUUCUAAUAAAGAGGGGUCAUGACGGUACCGUAAGAAUAAGCACCGGCUAACUACGUG